rnacentral:ncRNA from 1 species
AGGAGCGGAGUGAGGGGAAACUUUCACGCUCCGUUUUGCAGACGAGUCGGAGAGGUGACUCUUCGGCUUAGUUCAAC